rnacentral:rRNA from 1 species
CCUGCCCACUGAAAAUUUUUAAAUGGCCGCAGUAAUUUGACUGUGCAAAGGUAGCAUAAUCAUUAGUUUUUUAAUUGAAAGCUUGUAUGAAAGGUUGGACGAAAUAAAAUCUGUCUCUAUUUAAUUUAUAUUAGAAUUUAAUUUUUAAGUUAAAAAGCUUAAAUUUUAGUAAAAGACGAGAAGACCCUAUAGAUCUUUAUAUUUAUUUAUGUAAUUAGGAUUAAGAAUUUUUAUUUUUUUUAUAUAAUUAAUUAUUUUAUUGGGGUAAUAAAUAGAUUUAAUUAAUUCUUUUUUUUUUUUUUCAUUUAUUUAUGUAUAUAUGAUCCAAUUUUUUUGAUUAUAAGAUUAAGUUACCUUAGGGAUAACAGCGUAAUUUUUUUAGAGAGUUCAUAUCGAUAAAAAAGUUUGCGACCUCGAUGUUGGAUUAAAAAUUAUCUUAGGCGCAGAAGUUUAAGAUUUUGGUCUGUUCGACCAUUAAAUUUUU